rnacentral:rRNA from 1 species
AGUAGGGAAUAUUGGACAAUGGGCGAAAGCCUGAUCCAGCCAUGCCGCGUGAGUGAUGAAGGCCUUAGGGUUGUAAAGCUCUUUCAGUGGGGAAGAUAAUGACGGUACCCACAGAAGAAGCCCCGGCUAACUUCGUGCCAGCAGCCGCGGUAAUACGAAGGGGGCUAGCGUUGUUCGGAUUUACUGGGCGUAAAGCGCACGUAGGCGGGUCGUUAAGUCGGGGGUGAAAUCCUGGAGCUCAACUCCAGAACUGCCUUCGAUACUGGCGACCUAGAGUCCGGAAGAGGUGAGUGGAACUCCUAGUGUAGAGGUGGAAUUCGUAGAUAUUAGGAAGAACACCAGUGGCGAAGGCGGCUCACUGGUCCGGUACUGACGCUGAGGUGCGAAAGCGUGGGGAGCAAA